rnacentral:rRNA from 1 species
GAUGAACGCUGGCGGCGUGCCUAAUACAUGCGAGUCGAGCGAACGGACGAGAAGCUUGCUUUUCUGAUGUUAGCGGCGGACGGGUGAGUAACACGUGGAUAACCUACCUAUAAGACUGGGAUAACUUCGGGAAACCGGAGCUAAUACCGGAUAAUAUUUUGAACCGCAUGGUUCAAAAGUGAAAGACGGUCUUGCUGUCACUUAUAGAUGGAUCCGCGCUGCAUUAGCUAGUUGGUAAGGUAACGGCUUACCAAGGCAACGAUGCAUAGCCGACCUGAGAGGGUGAUCGGCCACACUGGAACUGAGACACGGUCCAGACUCCUACGGGAGGCAGCAGUAGGGAAUCUUCCGCAAUGGGCGAAAGCCUGACGGAGCAACGCCGCGUGAGUGAUGAAGGUCUUCGGAUCGUAAAACCCUGUUAUUAGGGAAGAACAUAUGUGUAAGUAACUGUGCACAUCUUGACGGUACCUAAUCAGAAAGCCACGGCUAACUACGUG